rnacentral:antisense_RNA from 1 species
GUUAUUUAAGUUCUGUUGAGAUUCUCCCGAAAUAAA